UACGUAGGGGGCGAGCGUUGUCCGGAGUUACUGGGCGUAAAGCGCACGCAGGCGGUCUGCUAAGUUUGGAGUGACAGUUGGUGGCUCAACCGCCAAAGUGCUUCGAAAACUGACAGACUUGGAGGCUUCAGAGGGACACGGAAUUCCGGGUGGAGUGGUGAAAUGCGUAGAGAUCCGGAGGAACACCGAAGGCGAAGGCAGUGUCCUGGGGAGUACCUGACGCUCAGGUGCGAAAGCUAGGGGAGCGAACGGG
rnacentral:rRNA from 1 species